GGUCUUAUGUUCAAUAAUGAUUCUAGACUGCAAUUCUAGAGGUUUAAACUAAUAUUACUAAGGCCU
rnacentral:tRNA from 1 species